GAAAUUCCAAGGUUAACAGUGCUGUUUUCAGUUCAUUGAAUGCUCUUAUUUCUUGUAUUUUGAGAAGAUUGGGACUCCAUCCUAAUUGCUACCUCCAGUGAUAAUUCUUCAUGCUUUAUUAAUCUCCAUCUUAAAAGGGGUCAGCUAAGCACCUACAUAUUAAUGAUGGCUCCUGACUGGCUUCACCAUUGAUCCAGCUUCCCGUGGUGGCACUUCCUUAAGCAGUGGUCCUCUGAUCUCCUGUGCCUUCUUCUCAGUGCUUCUGCGUUAGCUGAAAUCCCCAUAGAUUGGCAUCAAGAGGAGAGCACCUCAGCAUCUCAGACCUCCGGAUACUGUAGUCUCGCCCUGGCUGCCUGUCUCUGGGGCCAGAAGUACAUGGCAUGGCUCGACGUUCUCCAAUCCAGAACAAGCAUUCACUCCGGAUGUGCAGUGUGCUGCUGCACAUGCCUGCAGCAGUCUUCACUUCUCCUAAAGUGAGUAUGGGGAGAUUACUUCUCUUUUUAGAAGUCUCUCCUGUCUUCUAGUCAGGGUCUCUCCUGAUAUCCUGUGUGGAGGAAUCCCCUCCCCAGUCUGCCCCACUGUUGUUAGCAGGCUGCUCCUCCCCGCAUCUGUUUCAUUAACCACUGAGCUGUGACCUGGGCUGGAGACAUUCCUGAAGGAGGGGAGAGCUCUCCCCUGUGUCCUGUAUAACCCUAAACCCUCACCUGAGGUUGGUGACAUUUUUCGAACUGACCAACUGGCAUCAGCCAUGGUCUGAUACUGGUUUGUAGUGAGAACUUAG